rnacentral:rRNA from 1 species
GAGUUUGAUCAUGGCUCAGAUUGAACGCUGGCGGCAGGCCUAACACAUGCAAGUCGAACGGUGACAGGAAGCAGCUUGCUGCUUCGCUGACGAGUGGCGGACGGGUGAGUAAUGUCUGGGAAACUGCCUGAUGGAGGGGGAUAACUACUGGAAACGGUAGCUAAUACCGCAUAAUGUCGCAAGACCAAAGAGGGGGACCUUCGGGCCUCUUGCCAUCGGAUGUGCCCAGAUGGGAUUAGCUUGUUGGUGGGGUAACGGCUCACCAAGGCGACGAUCCCUAGCUGGUCUGAGAGGAUGACCAGCCACACUGGAACUGAGACACGGUCCAGACUCCUACGGGAGGCAGCAGUGGGGAAUAUUGCACAAUGGGCGCAAGCCUGAUGCAGCCAUGCCGCGUGUAUGAAGAAGGCCUUCGGGUUGUAAAGUACUUUCAGCGGGGAGGAAGGGAGUAAAGUUAAUACCUUUGCUCAUUGACGUUACCCGCAGAAGAAGCACCGGCUAACUCCGUGCCAGCAGCCGCGGUAAUACGGAGGGUGCAAGCGUUAAUCGGAAUUACUGGGCGUAAAGCGCACGCAGGCGGUUUGUUAAGUCAGAUGUGAAAUCCCCGGGCUCAACCUGGGAACUGCAUCUGAUACUGGCAAGCUUGAGUCUCGUAGAGGGGGGUAGAAUUCCAGGUGUAGCGGUGAAAUGCGUAGAGAUCUGGAGGAAUACCGGUGGCGAAGGCGGCCCCCUGGACGAAGACUGACGCUCAGGUGCGAAAGCGUGGGGAGCAAACAGGAUUAGAUACCCUGGUAGUCCACGCCGUAAACGAUGUCGACUUGGAGGUUGUGCCCUUGAGGCGUGGCUUCCGGAGCUAACGCGUUAAGUCGACCGCCUGGGGAGUACGGCCGCAAGGUUAAAACUCAAAUGAAUUGACGGGGGCCCGCACAAGCGGUGGAGCAUGUGGUUUAAUUCGAUGCAACGCGAAGAACCUUACCUGGUCUUGACAUCCACGGAAGUUUUCAGAGAUGAGAAUGUGCCUUCGGGAACCGUGAGACAGGUGCUGCAUGGCUGUCGUCAGCUCGUGUUGUGAAAUGUUGGGUUAAGUCCCGCAACGAGCGCAACCCUUAUCCUUUGUUGCCAGCGGUCCGGCCGGGAACUCAAAGGAGACUGCCAGUGAUAAACUGGAGGAAGGUGGGGAUGACGUCAAGUCAUCAUGGCCCUUACGACCAGGGCUACACACGUGCUACAAUGGCGCAUACAAAGAGAAGCGACCUCGCAAGAGCAAGCGGACCUCAUAAAGUGCGUCGUAGUCCGGAUUGGAGUCUGCAACUCGACUCCAUGAAGUCGGAAUCGCUAGUAAUCGUGGAUCAGAAUGCCACGGUGAAUACGUUCCCGGGCCUUGUACACACCGCCCGUCACACCAUGGGAGUGGGUUGCAAAAGAAGUAGGUAGCUUAACCUUCGGGAGGGCGCUUACCACUUUGUGAUUCAUGACUGGGGUGAAGUCGUAACAAGGUAACCGUAGGGGAACCUGCGGUUGGAUCACC